rnacentral:lncRNA from 1 species
AAAGAUUUAAAUGCCAAAAAAUAAAAUAUUUAUUAAAAAUCAAAAUUCAAUGUGAGAUUUUGCAUUGAAAUUAUUGAAAAUUGGACUAAUAAUAGCGAUUGAUUCGUCAAAUUCCUGUACUCUGUUUCAUUUUUAGCUUUGAAAAGGCAAAAACAGAUUGAACAAUCCAUUUGAUUCAAUUUUGACGUCCAAAAAUUGGUGGAGAAUAAUGUAGAAACUAAUGUAUUAAUUACAACUAAAUCUUAUAUCAUGGAAUUAAGUUGUUCGAAUAGAAUAAGGAUCAAUGACUUCAAAAGUUUAGCUGGCAAAACUGUUUUUUUUUAAUUUAGAGAAAAAUACCGCAAUCGGAGUAAUGAUAGCAAUAAAUUAUUUAAGAAAUUGUAAUAUUAAAUUCAUAUUAUAACAUAUUUUAUAUAAAAUUAUUGUAUUUAUCUUAUUAAUUAAAAAUUUGUUCACAUAUUACAUGUAAAUAAAUCAAGAAC